CCUAUUGAUUUUGGGGUCAAAGGUCAAAGUUAGUCAAGCAUAGCAACAAUCAAAACAUUGCAAAUUUGAAGAAAAAUUUCAUGUGUGAUGUGUUACCUGAAAUCAAUCUUUCCUGACUGCAGCUCACCCUCUCUCCAUUGUGCUACUUUAUCAGUUGGGUUGAGG